rnacentral:misc_RNA from 1 species
GAAAUGCGAUAAGUAGUGUGAAUUGCAGAAUUCAGUGAAUCAUCGAAUCUUUGAACGCACAUUGCGCCCUUUGGUAUUCCUUAGGGCAUGCCUGUUCGAGCGUCAUCUAAACCUUCAAGCCCUGCUUGGUGUUGGGUGCCUGUCCCGCCUCCGCGCGCGGACUCACCUCAAAUCCAUUGGCGGCCCCCGCGUCGGCCACGAGCGCAGCAGAAACGCGAACUCGUGAGCCCGUCCGGGCGGCUCCCAGAAGCUACACCCACCCAGUUUGACCUCGGACCAGGUAGGGAUACCCGCUGAACUUAAGC